UUGUAAGCACUAUUUUCCCAGCAUACUUUUCUAGGGACUGUUCCUUUAAAUGCAGCAGAGCCAACCAGCUGCAGGCUUAAGAAAGCUGUUUUACUGCCAGGCACUGCUUCUCCUGAUCUUCUACUUGGUCUGCGUGUGUUCAGGACUGCUCUGGAGACUGGAGAAGGGGUGGCGUGCAACCCUCUCCUCCCCCCACAUCCCAAGAAGAAUCCUCUGUGUUUUAGGGACUCAAAAUCCCAGAUUUGUGCUGCAUCAGCACGUCGGAGAUAAAAUUGCUGACUCACCCUGUGUUCUGCAGUUGGAUUAAGGGGUUCCACACCCAGAGAUCAUCUUCAGCAAUAAGACCUUCCUCCGUCAGACUCCAGUAACAUCAAAUAUGCUCAUGUAACAGAACCAGACCCUGGCAGUGAUGCAUCAAGUGGAAUACAACUUCAGUGGCAAUUUUCGCAAGCUGCAAUCCACUUCCAGGGGGAGGUGCCUUCGUCAUUGAAAAUGCAUUCAGUAAUGAGCUACCUCUAGAAAUCUACAGGAUCCUGCUAGGAGGAGCGUACGGUUAAGGCCCUCUGAGAUUACGCCUCAAGACAGCUGCUCCUUUUCAGCUCACCUGGAUCUGAAGGAGGCGAGAACAGCAGGAUUGGUGUAUGGGGGAUGUGCAGAUUCACACCAGAUGCCUUGUUAGUUUGACUAUCUCCAUACGGUUUUUAGGCAUAUGUUACCCCGACUGAGAGCACAGCUCAGGAACUGUGCAAGAGACAAUGAUAAUCAUAGAGCAUGUUGUGGGAAGAUGGUUAAUUUUAAUAAGGUGAACAAGCUUUGGGGAAAGGGUUCAACUCCACCCAAGGAUUGGAUCUCGGCCUUAAAGCCUGCAGCCCUCUGUGUGUGGGGGAAUCAUGAGAGACUUGCAGAGCAUUUACAGAACCUUUUCAAAAUGCACAACCCCCUUUGAGAUUCACCCUUCCUUGCUGCAAUUGAAACACAUUGUUAACCAGGAGAUGAAGAUAAAACAGGGCAUGUGAUGGAAACCAUAAAGCUUAUGAGGUGCAGAUAUUGAAUUCCAGCCCUCUGGUGGAAAGGAGGGAAGCAUGUGGUGGGGGUGGCGACAAGGGUCAGUUCUCACAGUCUUAUCUCAUUCCUGCUAAGGUUUAUGUGUGGAAGUCCUAGAAGUACUACCUUUCUUCAACAAGGCCUGUUUUGGGAUCAGUGACACUUACGAGCUGUUGGAACAGCGUCCCGCAGGAUGUGAUGGAUUCUUCAGCGCUUUACAUGGAGAAUGGCUGUCUUUCUAAA